rnacentral:rRNA from 1 species
UACGUAGGGUGCAAGCGUUAAUCGGAAUUACUGGGCGUAAAGCGUGCGCAGGCGGCUUUGCAAGACAGAUGUGAAAUCCCCGGGCUCAACCUGGGAACUGCAUUUGUGACUGCAUGGCUGGAGUGCGGCAGAGGGGGAUGGAAUUCCGCGUGUAGCAGUGAAAUGCGUAGAUAUGCGGAGGAACACCGAUGGCGAAGGCAAUCCCCUGGGCCUGCACUGACGCUGAUGCACGAAAGCGUGGGGAGCAAACAGG